ensembl:lncRNA
CGUGAACAUGCCAGUUAUAGCUAGCUAAUAAAGAGCUACGUUAAGAAAUAUCCUGUAGUACUGCAUUAUAUUAUUUUGUACAAAAUGUACAAAACAUGGUGUCAGAGUAAAAGGUCUUAAAAUAUGAAUUUUUCUGGAGUUCCUUUACCUCGAAUGGACUGGGACUCUACAAAUUUACCCAAUGCAUGGCCUUGGAACCUCACAGCAGAGAGCCAGGAGCUGCAGCACGGGUCAGACUCACAGCUGAGAGCACGGUCAGAGCACACAGCUGGCAGUGAUAUGUCACAACAUAUUGGGUCCAGCCACAAGACGACGCCGACGAGAGGGACGACCCCGAGGACGAGGAGCAGGUGGCGAAGGUGGAAAUCACGGAUGAUGUUGGGAUCCAGAAUGUCCUACACCGGAACCCAACAUCGACAACCCGGAACCCAACAUCACGUGAGCUUCGCUCCACACUUAUGCGCACCUGAAGCACUCGUCAACCGCAGGAGCUUCGGUCUGGCCCAGGGUCCACGGAGCCGAGGACGAGCAUACCAACCCUACCAUGUCACAACACAUUGGUUGGCUGAAACACAUUAUGAAGCAAAUUAACUUUCAACAAGGCACACCUGUUAAUUCAAAUGCAUUCCAGGUGACUACCUCAUGAAGCAGGUUGAGAGAAUGCCAAGAGUGUGCAACGCUGUCAUCAAGGCAAAGGGUGGCUACUUUGAGGAAUCUGAAAUUGAUUUUGAUUUGUUUAAUUAACACUCUUUUGCUUACUACAUGA